GACGAACCCGUGCAAACGUUGUUCGGAAUCACUGGGCUUAAAGGGCGCGUAGGCGGCUCGCCAAGUCAGGGGUGAAAUCUUUCGGCUCAACCGGAAAAGUGCCCCCGAUACUGCCGGACUGGAGGCAGGUAGGGGAGAGCGGAAUUCCCGGUGUAGCGGUGAAAUGCGCAGAUAUCGGGAGGAACACCGGUGGCGAAGGCGGCUCUCUGGACCUGUCCUGACGCUCAGGCGCGAAAGCUAGGGGAGCGAACAGGAUUAGAAACCCUUGUAGU
rnacentral:rRNA from 1 species